GACGAACGCUGGCGGCGCGCCUCAUACAUGCAAGUCGAGCGUGAAGCGGGACUUCGGUCCCGUGGAAAGCGGCGAACGGGUGCGUAACACGUGAGCAACCUGCCCCGAAGACUGGGAUAACCCGGGGAAACCCGGGCUAAUACCGGAUGUCCUCCUCCGAUCGCAUGGUUGGAAGAGGAAAUGUUCAGGCGCUUCGGGAUGGGCUCGCGGCCUAUCAGCUUGUUGGUGGGGUAACGGCCUACCAAGGCGACGACGGGUAGCUGGUCUGAGAGGACGAUCAGCCACACUGGGACUGAGACACGGCCCAGACUCCUACGGGAGGCAGCAGUAGGGAAUCUUGCGCAAUGAGGGAAACCUUGACGCAGCGACGCCGCGUGCGGGAUGAAGGCCUUCGGGUUGUAAACCGCUUUCAGCAGGGACGAAAUUGACGGUACCUGCAGAAGAAGGCCCGGCCAACUACGUGCCAGCAGCCGCGGUAAUAC
rnacentral:rRNA from 1 species